UACGGAGGGUGCAAGCGUUAUCCGGAUUUACUGGGUUUAAAGGGUGCGCAGGCGGAUAUGUAAGUCAGUGGUGAAAUCUCCGGGCUUAACCCGGAACUGCCGUUGAUACUAUAUAUCUUGAAUGCCGUGGAGGUAAGCGGAAUAUGUCAUGUAGCGGUGAAAUGCUUAGAUAAUGACAUAGAACACCUAUUGCGAAGGCAGCUUACUACACGGAGAUUGACGCUCAUGCACGAAAGCGUGGGGAUCAAACAGGAAUUAG
rnacentral:rRNA from 1 species